UAAUGAUUCAUUAUCAUCAAACUUAGGAUAUUUACGGAUUCCACUUUUUACGGAUUUACGUUUUUGACGAGAAAAUCAUGGGUUUACGUUUUUGGCGGGAAAAUCUCGGGUUUACGUUUUUGGCGGAAAAAUCACGGAUUUACGUUUUUGGCGGGAAAAUCACGGAUUUACGUUUUUGGCGGGAAAAUCACGGUUUUU
rnacentral:sRNA from 1 species